rnacentral:rRNA from 1 species
GACGAACGCUGGCGGCGUGCUUAACACAUGCAAGUCGAACGGACCCUUUGGGGUUAGUGGCGAACGGGUGAGUAACACGUGGGUGAUCUGCCCUGCACUUUGGGAUAAGCCUGGGAAACUGGGUCUAAUACCGGAUAGGACUACGCACUGCAUGGUGUGUGGUGGAAAGCUUUUGCGGUGUGGGAUGGGCCCGCGGCCUAUCAGCUUGUUGGUGGGGUGAUGGCCUACCAAGGCGACGACGGGUAGCCGGCCUGAGAGGGUGACCGGCCACACUGGGACUGAGAUACGGCCCAGACUCCUACGGGAGGCAGCAGUGGGGAAUAUUGCACAAUGGGCGCAAGCCUGAUGCAGCGACGCCGCGUGAGGGAUGACGGCCUUCGGGUUGUAAACCUCUUUCGCCAGGGACGAAGCGCAAGUGACGGUACCUGGAGAAGAAGGACCGGCCAACUACGUGCCAGCAGCCGCGGUAAUACGUAGGGUCCGAGCGUUGUCCGGAAUUACUGGGCGUAAAGAGCUCGUAGGUGGUUUGUCGCGUUGUUCGUGAAAACUCACAGCUUAACUGUGGGCGUGCGGGCGAUACGGGCAGACUGGAGUACUGCAGGGGAGACUGGAAUUCCUGGUGUAGCGGUGGAAUGCGCAGAUAUCAGGAGGAACACCGGUGGCGAAGGCGGGUCUCUGGGCAGUAACUGACGCUGAGGAGCGAAAGCGUGAGGAGCGAACAGGAUUAGAUACCCUGGUAGUCCACGCCGUAAACGGUGGGUACUAGGUGUGGGUUUCCUUCCUUGGGAUCCGUGCCGUAGCUAACGCAUUAAGUACCCCGCCUGGGGGGUACGGCCGCAAGGCUAAAACUCAAAGGAAUUGACGGGGGCCCGCACAAGCGGCGGAGCAUGUGGAUUAAUUCGAUGCAACGCGAAGAACCUUACCUGGGUUUGACAUGCACAGGACGCCGGCAGAGAUGUCGGUUCCCUUGUGGCCUGUGUGCAGGUGGUGCAUGGCUGUCGUCAGCUCGUGUCGUGAGAUGUUGGGUUAAGUCCCGCAACGAGCGCAACCCUUGUCUCAUGUUGCCAGCACGUUAUGGUGGGGACUCGUGAGAGACUGCCGGGGUCGACUCGGAGGAAGGUGGGGAUGAUGUCAAGUCAUCAUGCUCCUUAUGUCCAGGGCUUCACACAUGCUACAAUGGCCGGUACAAAGGGCUGCGAUGCCGUGAGGUGGAGCGAAUCCUUUCAAAGCCGGUCUCAGUUCGGAUCGGGGUCUGCAACUCGACCCCGUGAAGUCGGAGUCGCUAGUAAUCGCAGAUCAGCAACGCUGCGGUGAAUACGUUCCCGGGCCU